rnacentral:rRNA from 1 species
GACGAACGCUGGCGGCGUGCCUAAUACAUGCAAGUUGAGCGAUGAAGAUUGGUGCUUGCACCAAUUUGAAGAGCAGCGAACGGGUGAGUAACGCGUGGGGAAUCUGCCUUUGAGCGGGGGACAACAUUUGGAAACGAAUGCUAAUACCGCAUAAUAACUUUAAACAUAAGUUUUAAGUUUGAAAGAUGCAAUUGCAUCACUCAAAGAUGAUCCCGCGUUGUAUUAGCUAGUUGGUGAGGUAAAGGCUCACCAAGGCGAUGAUACAUAGCCGACCUGAGAGGGUGAUCGGCCACAUUGGGACUGAGACACGGCCCAAACUCCUACGGGAGGCAGCAGUAGGGAAUCUUCGGCAAUGGACGAAAGUCUGACCGAGCAACGCCGCGUGAGUGAAGAAGGUUUUCGGAUCGUAAAACUCUGUUGGUAGAGAAGAACGUUGGUGAGAGUGGAAAGCUCAUCAAGUGACGGUAACUAUCCAGAAAGGGACGGCUAACUACGUG